GAUGAACGCUAGCGGGAGGCUUAACACAUGCAAGUCGAGGGGCAGCAUAGGGUAGCAAUACUCUGAUGGCGACCGGCGCACGGGUGAGUAACGCGUAUGCAACCUAUCCUGUACUGGAAGAUAACCCGGAGAAAUUCGGACUAAUAUUCCAUAAUGAUAUUGAGAGGCAUCUUUUAAUAUUUAAAGUUACGACGGUACGGGCUGGGCAUGCGUAACAUUAGCUAGUUGGUAGGGUAACGGCCUACCAAGGCCACGAUGUUUAGGGGUCCUGAGAGGGUGAUCCCCCACACUGGUACCGAGACACGGACCAGACUCCUACGGGAGGCAGCAGUGAGGAAUAUUGGUCAAUGGGCGCAAGCCUGAACCAGCCAUCCCGCGUGAAGGAAGAAGGCGCUAUGCGUUGUAAACUUCUUUUCCAGGGGAAUAAAAUUUUGUACGUGUACGGAAUUGAAGGUACCCUGGGAAUAAGCAUCGGCUAACUCCGUG
rnacentral:rRNA from 1 species